rnacentral:rRNA from 1 species
AGAGUUUGAUCAUGGCUCAGAACGAACGCUGGCGGCGCGCCUAAUACAUGCAAGUCGAGCGAGAAGGUGUAGCAAUACACUUGUAAAGCGGCGAACGGGUGAGGAAUGCAUGGGUAACCUACCCUCGAGUGGGGAAUAACUAGCCGAAAGGUUAGCUAAUACCGCAUACGUUUCCGGGACUUCGGUUCCGGAAAGAAAGCAAUACCGUGGGUAUUGCGCUCAUGGAUGGGCUCAUGUCCUAUCAGCUUGUUGGUGAGGUAACGGCUCACCAAGGCUUCGACGGGUAGCCGGCCUGAGAGGGUGACCGGCCACACUGGGACUGAGAUACGGCCCAGACUCCUACGGGAGGCAGCAGUGGGGAAUAUUGCACAAUGGGCGCAAGCCUGAUGCAGCGACGCCGCGUGAGGGAUGACGGCCUUCGGGUUGUAAACCUCUUUCAGUAGGGACGAAGCGAAAGUGACGGUACCUAUAGAAGAAGGACCGGCCAACUACGUGCCAGCAGCCGCGGUAAUACGUAGGGUCCGAGCGUUGUCCGGAAUUACUGGGCGUAAAGAGCUCGUAGGUGGUUUGUCGCGUUGUUCGUGAAAACUCACAGCUUAACUGUGGGCGUGCGGGCGAUACGGGCAGACUAGAGUACUGCAGGGGAGACUGGAAUUCCUGGUGUAGCGGUGGAAUGCGCAGAUAUCAGGAGGAACACCGGUGGCGAAGGCGGGUCUCUGGGCAGUAACUGACGCUGAGGAGCGAAAGCGUGGGGAGCGAACAGGAUUAGAUACCCCGGUAGUCCAA